UAGGGAAUAUUGCAAAAUGGGCGAAAGCCCGAUGCAGCAACGCCGCGUGGGCGAUGAAGGCCUUCGGGUCGUAAAGCCCUUUUUGAGGGGAUGAGGAAGGACAGUACCCUCAGAAUAAGCCUCGGCUAACUACGUGCCAGCAGCCGCGGUGAUACGUAGGGUGCGAGCGUUAAUCGGAAUUACUGGGCGUAAAGCGUGCGCAGGCGGCUUUGUAAGACAGAUGUGAAAUCCCCGGGCUCAACCUGGGAACUGCAUUUGUGACUGCAAGGCUAGAGUGCGUCAGAGGGAGGUGGAAUUCCGCGUGUAGCAGUGAAAUGCGUAGAGAUGCGGAGGAACACCGAUGGCGAAGGCAGCCUCCUGGGAUGACACUGACGCUCAUGCACGAAAGCGUGGGGAGCAAAC
rnacentral:rRNA from 1 species